GACGAACGCUGGCGGCGUGCCUAAUACAUGCAAGUUGAGCGCUGAAGGUUGGUACUUGUCCCAACUGGAUGAGCAGCGAACGGGUGAGUAACGCGUGGGUAAUCUGCCUUUGAGCGGGGGACAACAUUUGGAAACGAAUGCUAAUACCGCAUAAAAACUUUAAACACAAGUUUUAAGUUUGAAAGAUGCAAUUGCAUCACUCAAAGAUGAUCCCGCGUUGUAUUAGCUAGUUGGUGAGGUAAAGGCUCACCAAGGCGAUGAUACAUAGCCGACCUGAGAGGGUGCUCGGCCACAUUGGGACUGAGACCCGGCCCAAACUCCUACGGGAGGCAGCAGUAGGGAAUCUUCGGCCAUGGACGAAAGUCUGACCGAGCAACGCCGCGUGAGUGAAGAAGGGUGUCGGAUCGUAAAACUCUGUUGGUAGGGAAGAACGUUGGUGAGAGUGGAAAGCUCAUCAAGUGACGGUAACUACCCAGAAAGGGACGGCUAACUACGUG
rnacentral:rRNA from 1 species